UACGGAGGAUCCAAGCGUUAUCCGGAUUUAUUGGGUUUAAAGGGUGCGUAGGCAGCUAAUUAAGUCAGGGGUGAAAUACGGCAGCUCAACUGUCGCAGUGCCUUUGAUACUGGUUAGCUUGAAUAUGGACGAAGAUGGCGGAAUGAGACAAGUAGCGGUGAAAUGCAUAGAUAUGUCUCAGAACUCCGAUUGCGAAGGCAGCUGUCUAGGUCAUUAUUGACGCUGAUGCACGAAAGCGUGGGGAUCAAACAGG
rnacentral:rRNA from 1 species